rnacentral:rRNA from 1 species
AUUGAACGCUGGCGGCAGGCCUAACACAUGCAAGUCGAGCGGAUGAAGGGAGCUUGCUCCUGGAUUCAGCGGCGGACGGGUGAGUAAUGCCUAGGAAUCUGCCUGGUAGUGGGGGAUAACGUCCGGAAACGGGCGCUAAUACCGCAUACGUCCUGAGGGAGAAAGUGGGGGAUCUUCGGACCUCACGCUAUCAGAUGAGCCUAGGUCGGAUUAGCUAGUUGGUGGGGUAAAGGCCUACCAAGGCGACGAUCCGUAACUGGUCUGAGAGGAUGAUCAGUCACACUGGAACUGAGACACGGUCCAGACUCCUACGGGAGGCAGCAGUGGGGAAUAUUGGACAAUGGGCGAAAGCCUGAUCCAGCCAUGCUGCGUGUGUGAAGAAGGUCUUCGGAUUGUAAAGCACUUUAAGUUGGGAGGAAGGGCAGUAAGUUAAUACCUUGCUGUUUUGACGCUACCAACAGAAUAAGCACCGGCUAACUUCGUG